CCAUUGAGCUCCACGGGCUGCUGCAAGGUCACCGUGGUGGUCAGCAGGCCCCGCUCCAGACGGCGGCCGCGUGCGGAUGGGCGGGGGCAGCCCUCCUGCCCACUCCUGCCCACGGGGGGUGUCCGCACCACACCCACACCGUCGGCUCCCCCAGGCUCCUCUGCGGCCCCGCCAGCUUCCGGCUGCCGAGGCAGCGGGGGGGCCGGGCUGGGCAGCGGCCUCCUGCCUCUGCCCCCCGCGGCCUUAUCCGGCACAGGCAGCUCAGGCCUGGCACUGCCGUCCUCUCUCUGGUCACCACCAGCCUUGGAGGGCUCCGGGGCCCCCCGCCGCACACACCGCGCUCCAGUGAAGGAAGUGACAGCGCAGCCACCAGCCGUGUCCCGUCAAGCACUGGACCGGCACGAAAGGUCUCAGGCCCUGAACAUAACCGGACCUCCUCAGCAACUUCCAAGGAAGCGUUAAGCCGAGUCACCAGGGAGGCGGUGGAGGUGGGCGGCCAGCUGCACGGUGCUCAGCGUCUCGGCGUGGCGGGCAGGCGCAUCGGAGACGUGGGCGAUCAUGGUGGUGCGGCAGUUGGCGGUGGCCAGGGUCUCCCGCAGCAGCAUGCGUGAACUCCUGGCCGCUUCAGGAGCCAAAUGGGUUCUGCGGAUUGGAGAGCGUUCCCGGCGGGGAGGGGACAUCGCGUGCGCCAGCCCCACGCCACGCGCCACCAUCCCAGUUAAAUGCCCGGGUCACUGUCUGCGAGAAUCCUUUCAUUACUGCAGGGAAAUGACAGGGUCUUCGCGCCACACAAGCAUGUCUCCCCCCACUAAAUGUUCAGAUAUUGCAAAGCCCCACUGAAUAGCUGCCAGGUAGGGAAAAAAUACAUUUUGCAUAAAAAGGGGCUUCCAUUCCUAAGAGACGGCCCAGGCAGUCGUGGGGGGAGGGGCCAUCAUACCGCAAGAUGAUGAAUUAUCUUAAGUGGCACAUUAAU